AUAGGUUGUGGCAAUAGGACAUUCGGGUUGAACUGUGAGCGUGACUGUGGCCAAUGUAACGGGACGUGUGAUGUUGUUGAUGGACGAUGUCCCUGGGGAUGUACCGAGGGGUACAACGGUUCUCACUGCUCUGUAAAGCUUUGAGCCUUGUUGACAAGGAUUUCCCUUCACCUCUGUUCUAUUUUUUGAUUCAGUUCCCAUCUUCUGGGCUUUGCCUAUUCUAUUUAUAAGUCACAUCAAAGGUUUCCUUUGAUGUGUUAUCUGUCCUCUAAUUGGCUAUUGUGUCCCUCUGUCUACUUCCUGUGGCCUACCUGUCUUCCACCUCACUCCAAUUGCUGUUGCUGAGGUGGAAACAUCUUUUCUUUCUUCAGGUAUGGCCGUUUUCUAAUCCUUUUUCAUCUGCCUCAAUUUUAUCUUAACUUCUAUAUAAAGGUGCUUAAAUUAAUUCAAACUGUAAUUUAAAACUAUUAAGGGCAAUAUUUAAUUUAUAAUUUUAAACUUUAAAGCAAUUAAUUAUAACUUGUAUACAUUGUAUUGACCAUGUAAAUGGACCAUGUGCUCUCCAUACAUUUACAAAUUUGUUUUGCAAAAGGUUUAUUGAUUACUUUGGCUAAAUGAUACUUGUUUACAAUGCAUAAUAUAGUUAAUGUAAAUUUAAUAUUUUAAUGACUCCAAUUGCUGUUGCUGAGGUGGAAACAUGUUUUCUUUCUUCAGAUACCUCAGCAACAGCCUCAUAAUAAAAUCAUAACAUCAUCA